rnacentral:tRNA from 1 species
UGGGGUAUAGCUCAAUGGUAGAGUGCAUGCUUAGCAUGCAUGAGGUCCUGGGUUCAAUCCCUAGUGCGCAAG